AAGGUCCACACUUUUGGCUGACAGCUGAAGAGGAGCCUUCUCUUUCUUUCCCCCAUUGUUCCAUGUGUGGAGCUGUGAUGAAGAGUUGCGCACAAAGAGUAACCUAUAAACUGCGAAUCUGUUCUCUGCAUUUUACUUCAUCUUUAAAUAUCUACUGUUUGAAUUUAGAAUAUCCUCCCUGGUUUUCCUGUUACUGGUAAGAUGACAACCACACUGGUCCUGAGAAGGAAUAGGAAAGCAAUUUACAUUUUGCAG